AAGUCGUAACAAGGUCUCCGUUGGUGAACCAGCGGAGGGAUCAUUACAGAGUUGCAAAACUCCCAACCAUUGUGAACCUACCUCACCGUUGCUUCGGCGGGUGGCCCGGGGCAACCCAGGCCACGCCGGCUCCCCUCUCCGGGGGCCCGGCAAGCCCGUCAGAGGACCGAAACCCUGUAAUUACUGGCCUCUCUGAGUAACUUAUACAAUAAGUCAAAACUUUCAACAACGGAUCUCUUGGUUCUG
rnacentral:misc_RNA from 1 species